GCAUGCUUGCAGAGGAAAUAUGUACAAAUUGGGGAUACAGUGAGUAACAAACGUAGAAUAGAUAAAUGACAGAACAUGUUGGUUGUUGGAAUCGAGAAUAUUUUCCACGCCUAACAAUUCUCACAAAAAGGUGUAUGAGAACCAUGACCUUGGAGUGGGUAAACAAUCAUUGAAAUAAAUACAAAAUAUUAGGAGUGCAUGUAGAAAAUAGUCUAACUCUUUAAAAAUGAGUUAGAGAAUACAUGACAAAUUUUUAGAAGUAGAUACUCUGAAAAAAGUAGAUGUUAAAUAUAUAUUAAAAGCAACCCCCAUUAUAUACUGCAUUGUUACAGGGAGUAGAUAAAGGAUUUGUUCCUUUGGAAGACAACUUAACAUAUUAGCCAUAUACAUGCAAAGAGUUCAUAUUAGUCAUAACAUAGUAGUUCCCAGAGUUCAUAUGAAUUGUAGAAAGAUUAAGUUGAAAUCAAAGUUAGAGAUUACAUCCAAGGAACAACCUGACAGCCCUGUGAGAAUGUUGCAAGUAAAUUUGAGCGGUUGUUCUCUCCAGCCACUGAUACUUUUUGACAGAAAUCAAUAUCAGGAACGUGAGACAAACAAACCAUAAUACAUCUACGUUAUGUCAUCAUAUCAAGACUUCAUGCAUCACAAAAAUUAUAUGACGGACAUGAACCCGUAUGAGCUUCAUACAAUACUGGGACUUUUUGCCAAAGAAGGCCUUCCCAAUACCCAUAUCCGACGCACUUCUCUCCUUUCCGCAGUGCCAGUUUUGGGCACAUUAGGCCUUGAUUCUAAAAGAUGCUUAUUCUUAACUUUUUUGAUUACUUCUAGAUGCUUUCUCCAAGGUGCUCCGCAGAUAGAAGUAAUAGCCCCUACAAGAAGAA